CAGCAGCCGCGGGAAUACGUAGGUGGCAAGCGUUGUCCGGAAUUAUUGGGCGUAAAGGGCUCGCAGGCGGUUUCUUAAGUCUGAUGUGAAAGCCCCCGGCUCAACCGGGGAGGGUCAUUGGAAACUGGAAAACUUGAGUGCAGAAGAGGAGAGUGGAAUUCCACGUGUAGCGGUGAAAUGCGUAGAGAUGUGGAGGAACACCAGUGGCGAAGGCGACUCUCUGGUCUGUAACUGACGCUGAGGAGCGAAAGCGUGGGGAGCAAACAGGAUUAGAUACCCCUGUAGUCCCUGUCUCUUAUAC
rnacentral:rRNA from 1 species